rnacentral:rRNA from 1 species
AUUGAACGCUGGCGGCAGGCCUAACACAUGCAAGUCGAGCGAGCGGCGGACGGGUGAGUAAUGUAUGGGGACUGCCCGAUAGAGGGGGAUAACUACUGGAAACGGUAGCUAAUACCGCAUACUAUCGGAUAACCCAUAUGGGAUUAGCUAGUAGGUGGGGUAACGGCUCACCUAGGCGACGAUCCCUAGCUGGUCUGAGAGGAUGACCAGCCACACUGGAACUGAGACACGGUCCAGACUCCUACGGAGGCAGCAGUGGGGAAUAUUGCACAAUGGGCGCAAACCUGAUGCAGCCAUGCCGCGUGUAUGAAGAAGGCCUUCGGGUUGUAAAGUACUUUCAGCGAGGAGGCGUUACUCGCAGAAGAAGCACCGGCUAACUCCGUGCCAGCAGCCGCGGUAAUAC